UACGGGGGGGGCAAGCGUUGUUCGGAAUUACUGGGCGUAAAGGGCUCGUAGGUGGCCAACUAAGUCAGACGUGAAAUCCCUCAGCUUAACUGGGGAACUGCGUCUGAUACUGGAUGGCUUGAGUUUGGGAGAGGGAUGCGGAAUUCCAGGUGUAGCGGUGAAAUGCGUAGAUAUCUGGAGGAACACCGGUGGCGAAGGCGGCAUCCUGGACCAACACUGACGCUGAGGAGCGAAAGCGUGGGGAGCGAACAGG
rnacentral:rRNA from 1 species